rnacentral:ncRNA from 1 species
CACACGAAACGGCAAACCGUUCGAAAGGACGGGACGCAAAGCUACGGGCCUACAGCGAGAACGAUCAACACGCCAUGGCAGCCGGGUUGCCGAA